AAAUAAAGAGAGCUGUCCGUCGACAGUCCAGUCAAACAAAUAUAAUACUGUCAUGGAAUUGCUCUCUUUGUAUGA
rnacentral:pre_miRNA from 1 species